rnacentral:rRNA from 1 species
UUAGAUGAGCCUACGUUAGAUUAGGCUAGUUGGUAAGGUAAUGGCUUACCAAGGCUAUGAUCUAUAGCUGGUCUGAGAGGACGAUCAGCCACACUGGAACUGAGAUACGGUCCAGACUCCUACGGGAGGCAGCAGUGGGGAAUAUUGGACAAUGGGCGAAAGCCUGAUCCAGCUAUGCCGCGUGAGUGAAGAAGGCCUUCGGGUUGUAAAGCUCUUUCAAUAGGGAAGAUAAUGACGGUAC